GGCAAGAUUUCGGGAGGAGAGGGCUGGGUCGCGUGUCCUGGCAGGGCCACAGGAAGAGCAUACACAUCUCCUGCGUCUUCGUAUUUUGACCAUAGCUGUCUGCAGUGCAGGAAGCCAACUAUUAAGGGGAAACAAAAGUGUUCUUAGGAGUCCUGCUGUCACUGUGGAUUGAGCCGGUGAAGCCCUGAGGGAUUUCAUCGCUGAGGUGGAUGGAGAAGCAGCUGGGGGCCUUGGCUGUAAGGACCCCUAAGGGCCUGAUCUUUUGGCCAGAAGGAGAUUAAAAAGAUGCCCCUCAAGAUGGCUGUGCCUGUCAGCUGCAUGGAGCUUCGUUCAAGUAUUUUCUGAGCCUGAUGGAUUUACAGUGAUCUUCAGUGGUCUGGGGAAUAACGCUGGUGGAACCAUGCACUGGAAUGACACACGCCCGGCACAUUUCAGGAUACUAAAAGUGGUUUUAAGGGAGGCUGUGGCUGAAUGCCUCAUGGAUUCUUACAGCUUGGAUGUCCAUGGGGGACGAAGGACUGCAGCUGGCUGAGAGGGUUGAGAUCUCUGUUUACUUAGAUCUCUGCCAACUUCCUUUGGGUCUCCCUAUGGAAUGUAAGACCCCGACUCUUCCUGGUGAAGCAUCUGAUGCACGUUCCAUCCGGCGCUCAGCUGGGCUUGAGGACUUCGCAGGUGAGCAGUAACGGAAAUCAGCCCCGUUUAUUCCUCCCAGCACCUGCCUUAUCCAACUCCCCACGCUGUGGCUGAGUCCCAGCCUGCUAUGGAAGCAUCACUGGACUCCCAUUGAACUCUGUGCAGAUUCGCUGUUCGUAGACAUGGUACCUGAUGGACACCAAGCUACGUACAGCUUCAAGGCCCCUUCUUUCUUUGCUAAUAAAAAAUAAAAAAUAAAAACAUAAUACAC
rnacentral:lncRNA from 1 species